UUAAGCGACUAAGCGUACACGGUGGAUGCCCUGGCAGUCAGAGGCGAUGAAGGACGUGCUAAUCUGCGAAAAGCGUCGGUAAGGUGAUAUGAACCGUUAUAACCGGCGAUGUCCGAAUGGGGAAACCCAGUGUGAUUCGUCACACUAUCGUUAACUGAAUACAUAGGUUAACGAGGCGAACCGGGGGAACUGAAACAUCUAAGUACCCCGAGGAAAAGAAAUCAACCGAGAUUCCCCCAGUAGCGGCGAGCGAACGGGGAGCAGCCCAGAGUCUGAAUCAGCUUGUGUGUUAGUGGAACGGUCUGGAAAGUCCGACGGUACAGGGUGAUAGUCCCGUACACCAAAAUGCACAGGCUGUGAACUCGAAGAGUAGGGCGGGACACGUGGUAUCCUGUCUGAAUAUGGGGGGACCAUCCUCCAAGGCUAAAUACUCCUGACUGACCGAUAGUGAACCAGUACCGUGAGGGAAAGGCGAAAAGAACCCCGGCGAGGGGAGUGAAAAAGAACCUGAAACCGUGUACGUACAAGCAGUGGGAGCACCUUCGGGUGUGACUGCGUACCUUUUGUAUAAUGGGUCAGCGACUUAUAUUCUGUAGCAAGGUUAACCGUAUAGGGGAGCCGCAGGGAAACCGAGUCUUAACUGGGCGUUAAGUUGCAGGGUAUAGACCCGAAACCCGGUGAUCUAGCCAUGGGCAGGUUGAAGGUUGGGUAACACUAACUGGAGGACCGAACCGACUAAUGUUGAAAAAUUAGCGGAUGACUUGUGGCUGGGGGUGAAAGGCCAAUCAAACCGGGAGAUAGCUGGUUCUCCCCGAAAGCUAUUUAGGUAGCGCCUCGUGAAUUCAUCUUCGGGGGUAGAGCACUGUUUCGGCUAGGGGGUCAUCCCGACUUACCAACCCGAUGCAAACUACGAAUACCGAAGAAUGUUAUCACGGGAGACACACGGCGGGUGCUAACGUCCGUCGUGAAGAGGGAAACAACCCAGACCGCCAGCUAAGGUCCCAAAGUCAUGGUUAAGUGGGAAACGAUGUGGGAAGGCACAGACAGCCAGGAUGUUGGCUUAGAAGCAGCCAUCAUUUAAAGAAAGCGUAAUAGCUCACUGGUCGAGUCGGCCUGCGCGGAAGAUGUAACGGGGCUAAACCAUGCACCGAAGCUGCGGCAGCGACACUAUGUGUUGUUGGGUAGGGGAGCGUUCUGUAAGCCUGCGAAGGUGUGCUGUGAGGCAUGCUGGAGGUAUCAGAAGUGCGAAUGCUGACAUAAGUAACGAUAAAGCGGGUGAAAAGCCCGCUCGCCGGAAGACCAAGGGUUCCUGUCCAACGUUAAUCGGGGCAGGGUGAGUCGACCCCUAAGGCGAGGCCGAAAGGCGUAGUCGAUGGGAAACAGGUUAAUAUUCCUGUACUUGGUGUUACUGCGAAGGGGGGACGGAGAAGGCUAUGUUAGCCGGGCGACGGUUGUCCCGGUUUAAGCAUGUAGGCUGAUUGUCCAGGCAAAUCCGGAUAAUCAAGGCUGAGGUGUGAUGACGAGGCACUACGGUGCUGAAGUAACAAAUGCCCUGCUUCCAGGAAAAGCCUCUAAGCAUCAGGUAACAUUAAAUCGUACCCCAAACCGACACAGGUGGUCAGGUAGAGAAUACCAAGGCGCUUGAGAGAACUCGGGUGAAGGAACUAGGCAAAAUGGUGCCGUAACUUCGGGAGAAGGCACGCUGGUGUGUAGGUGAAGCCCCUGCGGGUGGAGCUGAGACCAGUCGAAGAUACCAGCUGGCUGCAACUGUUUAUUAAAAACACAGCACUGUGCAAACACGAAAGUGGACGUAUACGGUGUGACGCCUGCCCGGUGCCGGAAGGUUAAUUGAUGGGGUUAUCCGUAAGGAGAAGCUCUUGAUCGAAGCCCCGGUAAACGGCGGCCGUAACUAUAACGGUCCUAAGGUAGCGAAAUUCCUUGUCGGGUAAGUUCCGACCUGCACGAAUGGCGUAAUGAUGGCCAGGCUGUCUCCACCCGAGACUCAGUGAAAUUGAACUCGCUGUGAAGAUGCAGUGUACCCGCGGCAAGACGGAAAGACCCCGUGAACCUUUACUAUAGCUUGACACUGAACAUUGAGCCUUGAUGUGUAGGAUAGGUGGGAGGCUUUGAAGCGUGGACGCCAGUCUGCGUGGAGCCAACCUUGAAAUACCACCCUUUAAUGUUUGAUGUUCUAACGUUGGCCCCUGACCGGGGUUGCGGACAGUGUCUGGUGGGUAGUUUGACUGGGGCGGUCUCCUCCCAAAGCGUAACGGAGGAGCACGAAGGUUAGCUAAUCCUGGUCGGACAUCAGGAGGUUAGUGCAAUGGCAUAAGCUAGCUUGACUGCGAGCGUGACGGCGCGAGCAGGUGCGAAAGCAGGUCAUAGUGAUCCGGUGGUUCUGAAUGGAAGGGCCAUCGCUCAACGGAUAAAAGGUACUCCGGGGAUAACAGGCUGAUACCGCCCAAGAGUUCAUAUCGACGGCGGUGUUUGGCACCUCGAUGUCGGCUCAUCACAUCCUGGGGCUGAAGUAGGUCCCAAGGGUAUGGCUGUUCGCCAUUUAAAGUGGUACGCGAGCUGGGUUUAGAACGUCGUGAGACAGUUCGGUCCCUAUCUGCCGUGGGCGCUGGAGAAUUGAGGGGGGCUGCUCCUAGUACGAGAGGACCGGAGUGGACGCAUCACUGGUGUUCGGGUUGUCAUGCCAAUGGCACUGCCCGGUAGCUAAAUGCGGAAGAGAUAAGUGCUGAAAGCAUCUAAGCACGAAACUUGCCCCGAGAUGAGUUCUCCCUGAGACUUUAAGUCUCCUGAAGGAACGUUGAAGACGACGACGUUGAUAGGCCGGGUGUGUAAGCGCAGCGAUGCGUUGAGCUAACCGGUACUAAUGAACCGUGAGGCUUAACCUU
rnacentral:rRNA from 1 species